rnacentral:rRNA from 1 species
UACGGGGUGCAGCAGGCGCGCAAACUUUACAAUGCGAGCAAUCGUGAUAAGGAAACCCUGAGUGCCUGUCGAUGCAGGCUGUUCAUAUAUCUAAAUCAUAUGUGAAGAAAGGGCAGGGCAAGACCGGUGCCAGCCGCCGCGGUAAUACCGGCUGCUCGAGUGAUGGCCACUAUUACUGGGUUUAAAGCGUCCGUAGCUUGACUGUUAGGUCUCUUGGGAAAUCUUCACGCUCAACGUGAAGGCGUCUAAGAGAUACCGGCAGUCUUGGAACUGGGAGAGGUAAACCGUACUUCGGGGGUAGGAGUGAAAUCUUGUAAUCCUCGAGGGACGACCUAUGGCGAAGGCAGUUUACCAGAACAGCUUCGACAGUGAGGGACGAAAGCUGGGGGAGCAAACGGGAUUAGAUACCCCGGUAGUCCCGGCCGUAAACAAUGUGCGUUAGGUGUGUCGGUAACCACGUGUUACUGAUGCGCCGAAGAGAAAUCGUGAAACGCACCACCUGGGAAGUACGGUCGCAAGGCUGAAACUUAAAGGAAUUGGCGGGGGAGCACCACAACAGGUGGAGCCUGCGGUUUAAUUGGAUUCAACGCCGGACAUCUCACCGGAUAAGACAGCUGAAUGAUUGUCAAUCUGAAGGUUUUACAUGACUAGCUGAGAGGAGGUGCAUGG